UGGACUAGAAUGCCCUUGAUUGGUGCAGAGAUGUAUCGUUCCGCAAGGACAAGGAGCAAGGUGCUGCAUGGCCGUCGUCAGCUCGUGACGUGAGGUGUUGGGUUAAGUCCCGCAACGAGCGCAACCCCUAUUUCUAGUUGCCAACACGUAAUGGUGGGGACUGUAGAAAGACUGCCCGCGCAAGCGGAGAGGAAGGAGGGGACGAAGUCAGGUCAUCAUGGCCCUUACGUCCAGGGCUACACACGUGCUACAAUGGCGUAUACAGAGUGUUGCAAGCUGGUGACAGUGAGCCAAUCACAAAAAGUACGUCUCAGUUCGGAUUGCAGGCUGCAACUCGCCUGCAUGAAGUUGGAAUCGCUAGUAAUCGCGCAUCAGCAAUGGCGCGGUGAAUACGUUACCGGACC
rnacentral:rRNA from 1 species